rnacentral:rRNA from 1 species
GAUGAACGCUAGCGGCAGGCUUAACACAUGCAAGUCGAGGGGUAGAGGUUGCUUGCAACCUUGAGACCGGCGCACGGGUGCGUAACGCGUAUGCAACCUACCUUUUACAGAGGGAUAGCCCAGAGAAAUUUGGAUUAAUACCUCAUAGUAUAUAACCUUCGCAUGUUGGUUAUAUUAAAGUUUCAACGGUAAAAGAUGGGCAUGCGUCCUAUUAGCUAGAUGGUAAGGUAACGGCUUACCAUGGCAACGAUAGGUAGGGGUCCUGAGAGGGAGAUCCCCCACACUGGUACUGAGACACGGACCGGACUCCUACGGGAGGCAGCAGUGAGGAAUAUUGGACAAUGGGCGCAAGCUUGAUCCAGCCAUGCCGCGUGCAGGAAGAAGCAUCUAUGGUGUGUAAACUGCUUUUGUACAGGAAGAAACACCCCGACGUGUCGGGACUUGACGGUACUGUAAGAAUAAGGAUCGGCUAACUCCGUGCCAGCAGCCGCCGUAAAAC